CUAGUUGAACCUGUAAUAGUUGAUAUAGAGUUAUACCAGUUGUAUCAGUUGUACUAGACAUAUUCCCGGCGGGAAACAUAUCAGAAGGUUUACCAGUUGUACCUAGCAGAAGCAACACAUUACAUAAAAACAUCCACAACACUAACACCUACAUAUAAAAUCAUCCACAACACAUACAUAAAAACAUAAUUAAGACUCAUUCUUGUCAUUUCCAUCGCUGCCACUUCCCUCACUCUCACUUCCCUCAUUUUCAUUGAAAUCACUGUCAC
rnacentral:lncRNA from 1 species